rnacentral:SRP_RNA from 1 species
GCCAGGUGUGGUGGCGGGCACCUGUAAUCCCAGCUACUCAGGAGGCUGAGGCAGGAGAAUCACUUGAACCCAAGAGGCAGAGGUUGCAGUGAGCCAAAAUGGUGCCACUGCACUCCAGCCUGGGCAACAGAGUGAGACUCUGCCUCAA